CCUACGGGAGGCAACAGUGGGGAAUAUUGGGCAAUGGAGGCAACUCUGACCCAGCAACGCCGCGUGAAUGAUGAAGGUCUUCUGAUUGUAAAGUUCUGUGAUGGGGGAUGAACACAAUGACGGUACCCCAAUAGCAAGCCACGGCUACCUACGUGCCAGCAGCCGCGGUAAUACGUAGGUGGCAAGCGUUAGCCGGAUUGACUGGGCGUAAGGGGUGCGUAGGUGGUUUAGUAAGUUAGCGGUGUAAUUCCGGGGCUCAACCUCGGCGCUACCGCCAAAACUAUUAGACUAGAGUGCAGGAGGGGUAAGUGGAAUUCCUAGUGUAGCGGUGGAAUGCGUAGAUAUUAGGAGGAACAUCAGGGGCGAAGGCGACUUACUGGACUGUAACUGACACUGAGGCACGAAAGCGUGGGGAGCAAACAGGAUUAGAUACCCCAGUAGUC
rnacentral:rRNA from 1 species